rnacentral:rRNA from 1 species
GACGAACGCUGGCGGCGUGCUUAACACAUGCAAGUCGAACGGUGAAGGGACCGGUUUUUGCUGGUUCUGGAUGAGUGGCGAACGGGUGAGUAACACGUGAGUAACCUGCCCCCUUCUUCUGGAUAACCGCAUGAAAGUGUGGCUAAUACGGGAUAUUCUGCGCCUGCUGCAUGGUGGGUGUGGGAAAGAUAUUGUUUCGGUGGGGGAUGGGCUCGCGGCCUAUCAGCUUGUUGGUGGGGUGAUGGCCUACCAAGGCGGUGACGGGUAGCCGGCCUGAGAGGGUGGACGGUCACACUGGGACUGAGACACGGCCCAGACUCCUACGGGAGGCAGCAGUGGGGAAUAUUGCACAAUGGGCGCAAGCAUGAUGCAGCGACGCCGCGUGAGGGAUGGAGGCCUUCGGGUUGUAAACCUCUUUCGCCAGUGAAGCAGGCCUGUCCCUUUUGUGGGUGGGUUGACGGUAGCUGGAUAAGAAGCGCCGGCUAACUACGUG